rnacentral:lncRNA from 1 species
GUGGGGAACUCUAUUCAGUGCAAGGUCACUCCCGCACCUCCUGACAGUACCUAUUGAAAUAUCAUUCUGGUCUUCAGGAGAACAAAUUCUCUGCCCAAGCAUAAGGUAGGUGUGAUGGGGCCAGACAGAGGUGUCAGCAUCCAAACUGGUCCUUCCCAUCAAGGGGAGAGGAACAGGAUGGGACUUGUUCACUGCUGCAGUGGACAUUUAAAUUGGGGUGGAUGAAUUGCUCCUAAAGGCACUCCUUUGUCUCACUUGGCUACAGUGGGAGCCUGGGGAACAGCACUGAGGUGGAGGUGACAGCAAACAUCCAAGGAGCUGAACCCCGAUGGCAGGGAUAGCUGCUCUCUGGGACUGCCCACAUCUCUCUGUGAGGACUCCAGCAGGUAACCAGGGCUCCCCGGUGCUCAGUGCACGGCUCCUGGAGCUGGUAGCUAGGGCAAGCAGUACAGAUGAAAGGAAACCAGGCUGCUUUAAUUCAUCCCACGGUCUCGGCUCUCCUUAAAUCACCAAUCUGUACAGUCAACCACAGCCUGCCUGCACAUUCAUAUAAAUCAAGCCUGAACAAAAUAUGGACAGAAGAGCUGAGUUUCAUGCACUAAUUCAAGAAGCAGCCUGGAUGAGAGAAUGUGAAAUUAAAAUGCAUCCUUCCCCCAGCUCCCUGUUUCACCCCUCUGUCCCAUUCCAGCAGUAAACUCCAGCACAGCCAGCAUCCCAUAACCAGGGGCAAGGUGUGAUGGGUGGACCCAGGCAGCACAGCCAAAAUGCAGAAAUGUCCCCAUCGCCUCCAGGCUCUUGAUUUGUGUGGGUGGGGAGCUGUCGUGUGAGACAGAUGAGAGCUUCAUGAUGAGGGCCAGUUCUGUUGCGAGGGUCAGUGCUAUUUCGAUGGCUGCAAGAUGCUCUAAUUAUAGUGCUGGGGUGGCUGGAGGCUGCCAGGAUAAACAGCCGAGGAAGCCCUGCAGCUCACUCGAGCUCAGUGCCAUUGGUGUCUCUUCCAGAGGGCUCAGUCCUCAGGAGGACCGGUUUUGA